GACGAACGCUGGCGGCGUGCUUAACACAUGCAAGUCGAACGGAAAGGCCCUGCUUUUGUGGGGUGCUCGAGUGGCGAACGGGUGAGUAACACGUGAGUAACCUGCCCUUGACUUUGGGAUAACUUCAGGAAACUGGGGCUAAUACCGGAUAGGAGCUCCUGCUGCAUGGUGGGGGUUGGAAAGUUUCGGCGGUUGGGGAUGGACUCGCGGCUUAUCAGCUUGUUGGUGGGGUAGUGGCUUACCAAGGCUUUGACGGGUAGCCGGCCUGAGAGGGUGACCGGCCACAUUGGGACUGAGAUACGGCCCAGACUCCUACGGGAGGCAGCAGUGGGGAAUAUUGCAAAAGGGGCGGAAGCCUGAUGCAGCAACGCCGCGUGCGGGAUGACGGCCUUCGGGUUGUAAACCGCUUUCGCCUGUGACGAAGCGUGAGUGACGGGAAUGGGUAAAGAAGCACCGGCGAACUACGG
rnacentral:rRNA from 1 species